rnacentral:rRNA from 1 species
UACGGGGGGGGCAAGCGUUGUUCGGAAUUACUGGGCGUAAAGGGCUCGUAGGUGGCCAACUAAGUCAGACGUGAAAUCCCUCGGCUUAACCGGGGAACUGCGUCUGAUACUGGAUGGCUUGAGAUUGGGAGAGGGAUGCGGAAUUCCAGGUGUAGCGGUGAAAUGCGUAGAUAUCUGGAGGAACACCGGUGGCGAAGGCGGCAUCCUGGACCAAUACUGACGCUGAGUGAGCGAAAGCCAGGGGAGCAAACGGG